rnacentral:rRNA from 1 species
UACGUAGGGGGCAAGCGUUGUCCGGAAUCAUUGGGCGUAAAGAGCUUGUAGGCGGUUUGUCGCGUCUGCUGUGAAAUUUCGGGGCUCAACCCCGAACUUGCAGUGGGUACGGGCAGACUAGAGUGUGGUAGGGGAGACUGGAAUUCCUGGUGUAGCGGUGAAAUGCGCAGAUAUCAGGAGGAACACCGAUGGCGAAGGCGGGUCUCUGGGCCGAUACUGACGCUGAGGAGCGAAAGCGUGGGGAGCGAACAGG